UCGCGCCCACUGGCUUUCCCCUCCGGACGUUGUUCCUGGGCGGUUAGGAACUGUUGAGAGGGGUCCUAGACUCACCCCUCUUUCACCACCCUGAAGACAGGGAUACCCGCCUGGUUUGGGCCACCCUAAACUUAAAGCAAACUACAGAUGCAUUAAUGACGAGGAUGGGCCAUUGAUCUUAGGAGAGAACUGGAAACUAGAUUUAAAAAAAUAAAA